GACGAUAUUCUUAAAACAUGAAGGUGAAAUAAAGACAAUUUCAAACAAAACAAUUUAUUAUCGCAGAUCCACCUAUUGGACAGAAGGUAACUAAGACUUGAAAAUGCAGGAAGUAAUGAAAGUCAACAAAAAAGGAGAAAUAGUGGCUGCAGAGUGCCUAUGCAGUGCUAGUGCUGUGCCUCUCCUACCGAGGCUCCGUGGAGGUUGCUGCUUUACUCCUCUUCUCUAGAUGGGAAAACUAAGCCUCAAAGGAGUUGACUAACUGCCCCUAGUUCAGUUACACAAGGGAUGCCAAAAUGGAACCAAAUCUCUGUGAACUCAGCUAACGGAAGAUGAGGAGAAGGCAGGUUCUGAUACAGGCACUAGGGUUGAGCCUUGUGAUUCACGGCCAGAGCUAAAUGAUGAUUCCUGUGCCAAAGUGCAGCACCUGUGAAGUAGAUACAGAGAGAAGCAAUGAAGAUAGGACUAUUCCUGGCAUGAAGAAGAGGCCAUAUGGUGUAGUGAAAACAGCACUGGGCAUGGAUGCGGGUCCUGUCUCAGCAGCCUCUGGAGCCAGACUGCCUGACUUCGAAUCCCAGAUUUACCAGCCCUGUGACCAUGCACAAGUUACAGAACCCCUCUGUGCCUUACCGUCCUCCUCUGUAAAGUGGAGAUAAUAAUGGAAUUUGCCUUACACGGUUGUGGAGGAUUAAAUCAGACGUAUAAAUGAAGACCAUUCCUGGCAUGCAAUCUCAGGAUACUGGUUCAAAAGGAAGACAGCCUAGAGCUUCUAGAUGGGAAUGCAACAUUCCAGCCCUCUGACAGUGAGAUUUGAGGCACACAGACCUGGGCAUCUGAAAUGAGGAAACUGAAGCUCAGAGAAGUAUUUUUACAUCCGCAGCUGCCACGAAUACCAAGAGCCCCCGCCUUGGGGCGUUGAUGCCUGCCUCCUCCUCAGCUCGGGUCUCCUUGCUACCUUAUUUCCUCGCGGCUCCUUGACUCAGGUCCCGGCUCAAACGUCGCCUCUGCAGGGAGAUCUUCCCAGACUAGGGUGUCUAAAGCAGCGCCCCCAGCACCCGCCACAGCCUCUCCACUUUGCUGUUCUGAUAGCACUCACAGCCCCUGACUGUCUCCCAUCUCUUCCCGGAGGCGACGGCUUCACAGGGAUCUCUCCUCGGCUCCCGGCCUCUUUAGAGGAAAUGUUUAGAUGCCCUCUGAGGGGUUUCUGGGUGGAGGUGCUGGAUUGGAAACGUCUUCUCAACAAAAAUGAGCUCCUUGGCGGGUGAGUGCCUUGCUCACAGUAGAAACUCCAUAGUAGGGAAUGAAUGUGCCCUAAGAGAUGGGCUGGUGAAGAGGUCUCUGGGCUUGGGGUCAGGAGAACUGGGCUCUAGUCCUGCUUUUCCAGGCAGCCUCUGCCCUGCUCUAAGCCUCAGUGUCCUCUGAGUAUGAGGGGCUGGACUCUGUCUGGAAGGUCCCUUCUCAGAGACUUACAGAAGUUAAAGUUCCAUGAGAAGAGCAGCUCUACAGGGCUGCACACUGAUUCGAUGAAGCACAGCUAGCUCCCUCCUCCCCCUUGCCAGGUCCCCUCCUUCUUCGCAUGGAGAGAAAGUGGCCUGCUGCUCCUGUCGGGGACACCUGAGUGGUCCCUGACAUUCUGUGGCUUCUAGAGCUGGCUCUGAGGAGUCACAGCCCUGAGGACCAUCAUGAGGUUGUUCAAAGUCUUUAGGGACGGGUGGAGGAGUAGGGGAGACCAGGGACUGGAGAGAUCCAUGCUGUGCGAGCUGGGAAGCGGACCAAAAAGAAAAACUGGACUUUCCUUUCCCAGGCCAGAGCAGGCUGCUUCUUUAUGGAUAUGAUGCAACGUUGCUCACUCACCCCACAGAUUCUUAUCCCAUCCACCCUUCAUGAGUGGCGUGAUGCUGUAAACAGCUUGGUCUGGAUGAACCCCCUGAGAACUGAUCUUAUCUGUCACCCUCUGUAGAAGUUUAAAAACACAGUUCCCAAAUUCUUUGACCCUCCGCUUCUUGAGAGGCGGGGUCUGUCUCCCUUCCCCUUGAAUCUGCCCUUGUGACCAUUUGACGAAAGAAUACAGUAGACGAGGCGCUGUGCCCAUAUCUGGGUCCAGGUCUUCAGAAACGGGCAGCUGCCACUUCCUGUCUCCUGGGAUGCUUGCCCUUGGAAGCCAGCCACUGUGCCGAGCGGAGCCAAAGCGGCCUGUGAGGAGGAGAGACACACAUGGGGAGGAAGCGAGGCUCUGGGCCCGUGGCCCUGGCUGAACACCCAGUGCCAAGGUGCCAGCCCCGUGAGUGAGCCGUCCUGGAAGCCCCCAGUCCAGCCAGCCCAGCGGAUAGAACAUGGAGCAGAGCAGACACUUUCUCCUUAGCCUCGGGCUCCUGCAACAACCCCAAGGGACUUGACCGCAUGCCUAGGUGGCAGUACACUGACCCGAAAUUCCAGAAGCCGGGCUUCUGCUCCUGGCUCCACCAUCACCAGCUACAUGGCCCUGAGUGAGAAUUUCCUGUCUCUGGGCUUCAUUUCUCUCCUCCUCAAAACAGAUCUGGAAAAGCUGAUCUGCAAGCCUGUUCAAUCCACAAAAAAUAUGAUUCCGUGUUUCCCUUUCAUUGCUACCUCGAUGCAACAUCCAUUACGGUUAAGAAAGUAGUUUGGGGAAGAAGAUGAUCUGUGUUCAAUGCUGGUUCAGCCACUUUAAUACUAUUAGCCUUGGGAAAAUAGGAGGGUACUUGGGUGGGUUAAAUAAUACUGUAAAGUUUUAGAACACUUGGUUCUUUGUAAACUUUCAAUAAACAUUGUCCAUUUUUGCUGCCUCUGGUUAAGUGUAGGUUUCAUCAAGGCUGAGUGUCACCUCUCCUUUAUUAACUGAUACCCAAAGCACAAUAUUCUAAGUCUAAAUUGAUUAACCCUGUGAGCAGGUUGCCACCAGGGUCUCUGUCCUGUAUCAGAAGGAGCAGAGCUAACAUCCACUGAGGUUGUUUACUCUGGGCCAGACCCUGUACCAGACACUUAACACUUACACACUUUCUCAUUUCGUCUUCACAGCAAUGGCAAGAGCUAAGUAUUAUUCUGCCCUCAUUUUACUCCUGGGGAAAUGGAGCCUCAAAAAGAUAAAAGCCACAGCACUCAUAGCAAUUAUAGAUUCAGAUCCGAUUCUGGGGGUGCUUCAAGCCCAUGCCAGGGGGAAACA